GCUGGGCAUGGUGGCGCAUGCCUGUAAUCCCAGCUACUUGGGAGGCUAAGGCAGGGGGAUUGCUUGAACCCGGGAGGCAGAGGUUUCAGUGAGCCGAGAUUGCGCCACUGCACUCCAGCCUGGGUGACAGAGUGAGACCCUGUCUCAA
rnacentral:SRP_RNA from 1 species